GACGAACGCUGGCGGCGUGCUUAACACAUGCAAGUCGAACGGAAAGGCCCUGCUUUUGUUGGGUUCUCGAUUGGCGCGCAGGUGAGUAACACGUGAGUAACCUGCCCUUUACUUUCGGAUAACUUCAGGAAACUGGGGCUAAUACCGGAUAUGAUCUCCUGCUCCAUGGUGGUGGUUGGAAAGUUUCGGCGGUUGGGGAUGGACUCGCUGCUUAUCAGCUUGUUGGUGUGGUAGUGGCUUACCCAGGCUUUGAAGGGUAGCCGGCCUGAGAGGGUGACCGGCCACAAUGGGACUGAGAGACGGCCCAGACUGCUACGGGAGGCAGCAGUGGGGAGUAUGGCACAAUGGGCGGAAGCCUGAGGCAGAAACGCCGGGUGCGGGAUGACGGGCUUAGGGGUGUAAACCGCUGUCGCAGGUGACGAAGAGUGAGUGACGGUAAUGGGUAAAGAAGCACCGGCUAACUACGUG
rnacentral:rRNA from 1 species